UCGGGAAUGGUGUAAAGGUCAGCAUGUCCGCCUCUCAAGCUUCAGCCGAGAAUCGCGGUAGAUCGGGGUUCGAUUCCUCGUUCCCGGA